AAAACGGAAGACUGUGGUCUGGUUUAUCUAGAAUAUGGGAACUGAUGUCGUAAUGGACUAAAUAUACCAAGGGGGGAAAUAACUAUUUAAGGUAGCAGACAGUGUUGUCAUAAAAACACUUGGGUAUAAUCUGAAUAGCUUGAACAAACAGAUUUAAGCUGGAUAUUACGAUGUUUUCUCUUAAUUAGGGAAUGAAGAGAGAGACUGGAUUCCCACUAAGUACGGAGGAGAAACACAUUGGGUGUUCUAACACAACAGUUUGUUCUAACAUUAACAGGUACUGCCUUAAGAUCUAACUACAGACAGCUUCAACAUCUUUUCCAUUUGCAGCUGACUGUGAUGGCUCAAAAGAAUUAAUUUCACUAUUGAAAACUAAAUUAUUUUUGAGAAAGUAGAGAGAACAAUGCAAAAGUAUUUAUGGAGUCCAGUCUUUUUCAGAAGGAUCAAGUGUGUCCUUUUUCUCUAUAACUCUCUGAGAGUUUCUCUAUAUCUCUCUGAGAUCCAAGACUACCUUUUUAUGGUUCACAAGUUGUUGUUGUAAUCAACUUGGCUGCAGGCCCAAAGCAAGCUGUGUGACUCAGUGACAGUUGCAAUCAGUGCAACCGGGAAAAAGACAAAGAGCCAAUACAUUUGGAAUCCACAGCAAUGGAUGAAAACGUUCGGAGAGCUUUUCAAGAAGUCUAUUGGCUGGAGAGUUUCAGAUUAAACUGAUCUUUAAAAUAUUAAAUCACAUUACUAAGGAACAUGUAUACAGCAUCUAAUGUUGCCAUUUUUUUAAGAGUAUUAUGUUUCAAUUAGAUACAGUUUUGUUAAUGCCCCACAAUAAAAUGUUUCAGUGUUGCCAGUGUUGCUGUGCACUACAAGACUACUGUUUAGGAAAUUCUUAGACACGUUUUAAUACAGGCAGCAAGUUACAAUAUCUUGAAGCUGCAAAGAGGUCAAGAAUGUCAUUAACAUGAGCUUAACUCCGAGAAACAUCAGUGAGAUUUAAAUAUGGCCUAGGCAGAAAAUUAGUUGAUUUUAUUAUGAUCAUGUGCCAUCCCAGAACCCAAUACAUCUUGAUAAAUAAUGUUUCCUAUUCGUAUUUUGCAGAUUGCUUUGAAAUAAAAAAUGUUACUUCAGUAAAA